rnacentral:rRNA from 1 species
GACGAACGCUGGCGGCGUGCUUAAUACAUGCAAGUCGAACGGAAAGGCCCUGCUUUUGUUGUUUGCUCGAGUGGCGAACGGGUGAGUAACACGUGAGUGUCCUGCCCUUGACUUUGGGAUAACUUCAGUAAACUGGGUCUAUUACCGGAUAUAAGCGCCGGCUUCAUGUUGUGGGUUGGAAAGUUUCGGCGGUUGGGGAUGGACUCGCGGCUUAGCAGCUUGUUGGUGGGGUAGUGGCUUACCAAGGCUUUGACGGGUAGCCGGACUGAGAGGGUGACCAGCCACAUUGGGACUGAGAUGCGGGCAAGACUCAUACGGGAGGAAGCAGUGGAGAAUAUUGCACAAUGGGCGGAAGCCUGAUGCAGCAACGCCGCGUGCGGGAUGACGGCCUUCGGGUUGUAAACCGCUUUCGCCUGUGACGAAGAGUGAGUGACGGUAAUGGGUAAAGAAGCACCGGCUAACUACGUG